rnacentral:rRNA from 1 species
GAUGAACGCUAGCGGCAGGCUUAAUACAUGCAAGUCGAGGGGCAGCGCAGUGUAGCAAUACAUGGGCGGCGACCGGCAAACGGGUGCGGAACACGUACAGAACCUUCCUUCGAGCGGGGGAUAGCCCAGAGAAAUUUGGAUUAAUACCCCAUAGUAUAGCGGAGUGGCAUCACUUUGUUAUUAAAGAUUUAUCACUUGAAGAUGGCUGUGCGUCUGAUUAGGUAGUUGGCGGGGUAACGGCCCACCAAGCCUGCGAUCAGUAACUGGUGUGAGAGCACGACCAGUCACACGGGCACUGAGACUCGGGCCCGACUCCUACGGGAGGCAGCAGUAAGGAAUAUUGGUCAAUGGACGCAAGUCUGAACCAGCCAUGCCGCGUGAAGGAUGAAGGUCCUCUGGAUUGUAAACUUCUUUUAUCUGGGACGAAAAAAGGCGAUUCUUCGUCACUUGACGGUACCAGAUGAAUAAGCACCGGCUAACUCCGUGCCAGCAGCCGCGGUAAGAC